AUCAUUAUAACUUAAUUUAGAGUGUAGUAUUGAAGAUACUAAAGUGACUUUUGUCUAUUGAUA
rnacentral:tRNA from 1 species